AUGGAUGGAGCGCGGAGGACCCGGGGCCCCGUCGGGUGCCGUGCAGCAGCUGGUGUUGUGAAUCAGGCCGUCGCCAGUCGGAGAACGGCUACUUCACAACACCAGGGUGGCACCGCACCACGCUUCGACCGCCGGCCGGGGAGGAGCGGAGGUUCCCCAGGACGGACGGGCACACGGCAAGGGGGAGCACGGCCUCGCUGCCUCUGCCCCCAGCCCAGACCUGCAAAGGUAAUCAGGUGCUCAACUCCUAUUUAGGCACCAGCCUCCCACGGCAGUCUGAAAUAGAAGUUAGGCCCCUAAAUAUCUCUGCGGGUCUGGCCCCGAGGCGCCCGGCCUCGCUGCGUGGCGCGGGGCAGUCCUUUCGCAGCUUCUGGCAGUGGGUGGUGGGAAGCUGCGGGGUGAGCACAGCCCCUGCGUGCUCCACGUGUAGCCCAGCGGACACCUCGUGGCGUGUUGUCCUGUAAAAGGUGCUGUAGGCAGCGGGGAAGAAGCCAGGCUCCUUGGAAAUGACACUGCAGCAGCCCCAGGUGCAUUGUAAUGAACGACAAAGUACCGAAAAUAAAGAGUGGGGUUGGCCAGAAGUGGUGCCAUCGUCUGCUGUUGUUAAAACAGAGGAAAUGUUUGAGUUUGCAUUGCUUGACAACCCCCCAAAAAAUGGCUAUUAGACCCACACUGUCCAGAGGGGCCCUAUAACACUUGCCCUGUGUUUCAGGUCUGAAUUUCAGGCUCUCCUACCUCCUCCCUCAUACCAUAAGGCCCACGUGCUCUUAGCUUUAAGGGCUGCAGGGCAGCACUUCCCACCUGGAGCCACGUCGUGUUCGUGGAGGUCCACAAAAGCUGAUGGCUGUGUGCACCCAGAGUUCUGGCUGCUGGGAUGGAAAACCCUCACGUGUGCUGGGUUUCUGGUAGCCCCCCAGACUGGAAGCCCUUGCAGUUUGUGGAUACCCAUGGAAAGCUUCCUGGUGCUUUAUGGAUCCUUUUUGGUACUUGUGGUCUGUUUCUUCCCAAAAUACCACAUCAGAAUUGUUGAAAGACCUACUUUUGUAGUCUUAGUUUGGUGAUGGGGUUAGAGCAAAGCCUAUCAAAACUGAAACGUGGGGCUGUAAUCUCGUGAGAUUAUUAUUAUUAUUUCUAAAGGGUUGUUACUCUGAAAGUGCUUUUUAUAUUUAAGCAAACAAUACUUAAUUUCACCCUUGAACCCUUUAAAAUCUGAAUCUGAUGGAUUUAUUUAUUCAGUGCAUCUGUGUUGUACUAUAGCUGUUUUUCUAUUAUUUUGAAUGACUGACUCUUGUUUCUUUCUUCCACUUGCCAGCAGUGCAUGCAGCACUUCAGAGAGUAGCAUCCUUGUGAAUUUUGCACUCUCUCCCACAUGCAGAAGCCAUGAUGACAGGCACAGGAGGGCUAAGCAGCUCUCAUGUUGUGUUUUCACAUGCAUGCUGCUUUGUUAUUGUGGAGUUCCUCAUGAAAUGUGGCAUUAAUGGGUUUCUUUUUCAACUCUUUAAUAGGGCUUCCUCUUUUGCAAACAACUAAUAUGAAAUUAAAAUGAUAUUUCAGACCAUUGAAAUACCAACAUUAAAAAACAAAAAGGAGGUGGGACUGAACUGUUGUAUCCACAAA